UCAGAAUAUGCAAUGACAUUGAUGGCCAAUCUCUGUCCCAAGAUGCAGUGCUCGUCCAAAGUGCCAAUGAAAUAGUACUCCCCCAGUGAGUCCAACGUAAAAUUGGCUGGACCUGUGGUUUUGAGGCUGAUUGGAUUGGUUGAAUUGCAGGGGACUUUCUAAGGAAGGUGCAUUUGUCAAAAUAUAUUGAAAACAAGACCUAUAUUCUGGACAAAGGAGACUUAUUCACAACAGCGAUGUAUGAUCCGCAUGGCAUUUGUAAGUCAACAGAGCACAUUACUUAAUAUACACAUGAUUCUUAAAUAAUGUAUUGUUUGACCAUUUCUUUGCCUCAACUGAUACGUUAAUAGAAUUUCUAGACCUUGCAUUGGCCAUCAUUUUGGUGUUUUCUUUGAUUGUGUUGUGAUGAACCCGUCUUUGUCAAUUGUUUCAAUUGCUUGUUUGUUAGAGAAGAAGCUUCUACUUCAUUGUCAA